UCAGGAAUCAUUAUAUAUUGGUGUGUGAGAGAGAUAUGGGAUAAGUGGAGAGUGGAGAGCAGAAAGCUAUCAGUUAAAUAUGUAAUUAUAAUCUAAAUCAAGAAAAACAUAUUAGGAGAUCAAUGAUAAAUGGCUGUUCAUAUCAUUAUGGUAUGAAAAAAGCUUCAUCAAAACAUCAGAAUGUUAAACCAAAUUCCACUCAAAGGAAAUCAAAUAGUUACAGAAUCAAAAAGUGACACCUCAGAAAAAUUAAUUCUCUGUAAAAUGUGCUAACAGAAUUUAGCAUUCCUACAGUUCCUUUAUGAAACACAGUAAUUUCCAGCUUAGGCUAUGCUCAUUUUAAUAAUCUUUAAGAAUUGCAUUCUAAAUAAUGAAAAAUUUUUAUAUGUCUACAAAAAAUGUAGUUAUAUUCCAAUUCCCUGGUGGUGUCACAGGCAUCAACAGUGACAUUCUCCUGCAUGGCAGAGUGUUAUUAAACUUCAACCUCAAGAUCAAUUGAGACUAAAAAGGACACAAAGCUCUGUCUCUUAUAAGAGAGUGGAACAUACACUGCAAUUUCAACCUGAGAAAACAUCUUCAAUGAAGUACACAUCUAGUUGUUCAAACUCCAAAUGACAUGUUAGGUUUUUGAAGGUUGGUUGAUAGAUAAUACAAUCUAACCAAUAGGUAUAUUUUUAAUGCAUAGUUUGCUUUUUGUUUUUUUAAGUAAAAAUUGGCCCCUCAUUCCUAUCGAGUAAAUCUCUCAGAAAUACCAUUUUCAGUGACUCAUCUUCCAGCGAGGAAAGUUACAUACUUGUUUGUGAAGCAGUGGUUUUUAGACUUCUCCUGAGUCAUAGACUCUUCGGAGAAAUUAAAGUUCUACAUUCCUUAAAUGAAAGAUUCUAUAUGGCAGGCCAAUGUGCAUCUUCUCCAUAUCAAAAUGAAAAAGGAAUAGAUCUGCCUACGUGUGUGCACAUGUAUUCAGAGAAAAACAAAUAUUGUGAAAUCAUUUCUAAAACACUGAGUUACUAAUGUCCUGUUGGAGGGUUUCCAUGAUUUCGUCAUAUUUUGACAAUGCAACUUUUAUGAACUUUGGGGUCCCAAAGUAAGAAACUCUAAAGUAAUAGGAAUGGGAAUGAGUUCUACAGAAAUCCUGUUGAGUAUAGACAAUCAGCAAUCAUAAACUCAAUUCAGUUUGAGAUUUGCAUUAUUUCUAUGCAAAGUAAUUAAGAUUUGAAAACAAUUUUUAGAUAUAAGUUCAAUCAUUCUUGUAAUACUUCUUUAGGAUUUACAAACCAUUUUGUUCAUUAACAAGAAUUUAAUUUACUUUUCAUAGGAAGUAAAUAUAAUUGAGAAAUUUCUACAUCUCCAAACGCUGUCUUUCAUUUACUCUGGUUUCAUCUUUAUGUGUUAAAAUAUUACCCUAGUGUCCUCCACCUGAGGGAUGCCAUCCUCUUGUUCCUCCCGCUACAUCCCUCUUUCAAUCUCAGACUUCCUAAAGGGCUUAUGUGUCCUGAAGGAGAUGGUGUUCUCCACGUACCACCACCGUGAAAAGACGGUUUGUUGGCUUGUUCUACUUUUAUCGCUUUUCCAUGCAAAAACUAAAAGUAUUAAGUAUACUAUCAAUACAAUUGUUACAUUUAACCUAAACACAUUUUACAAACAUUCUUCAACAACCGUAUUUCAGGUCCAGAUGUUUUCUUUGAAACAAACUUUUUUCUUUUUUUUUUUUUUCCUGAAAUGACCACACCAUUCACAAGGUGAAACUUGAGAUAUUUACGGAGUACAUGCCCUUCCAUGAAGGGAUUCACACAUAUUCCAUUAUUCAAAUUUCUUGAAAGGCCUCCAGUGUUAAAAAAUAACACCUCAAGAAAAAUUAACCUGUCAUAAAUUCUAUAAGACAAGGUAGCACAUCUUUUUUUACAAUGCAUAAUAUACUUCAUCUUUGCAUCCACAUCAUUAACUAAAAAACGUCAGUGUCUCAGGUGUAUAUGAAAGAAUGUCUCAUUAGAAAAGUAAGGUUAUUGUCCAGACGUGGUGUCUCAUGCCUGUAAUCCCAGCACUUUGGAAGGCUGAGGUGGGCAGAUCAUGAGGUCAGGAGAUGAAGACCAUCCUGGUUAACACCGUGAAACCCGAAUUUCUACUACAGGAAAAAAAAAAAAAAAAAAAAAAAAA
rnacentral:lncRNA from 1 species